rnacentral:tRNA from 1 species
GGCCUCGUGGCCUAAUGGAGAAGGCGUCUGACUUCGGAUCAGAAGAUUUCAGGUUCGAGUCCUGGCGGGGUCG